rnacentral:rRNA from 1 species
CAGCCGCAACAGCCCGCUGGCUCGCACGGGGUGCUCUUCAUCGAGUGUCCCGCGUGGCCGGCAGAGUUUACUUUGAAAAAAUUAGAGUGCUCAAAGCAGGCUACACUGACGGCCUGAAUGCCUAUGCAUGGAAUAAUGGAAUAGGACCUCGGUUCUAUUUUGUCGGUUUUCUGAACCCGAGGUAAUGACUAAUAGGAACAGGCGGGGGCAUUCGUAUUGCGACGCUAGAGGUGAAAUUCUUGGACCGUCGCAAGACGAACUACUGCGAAAGCAUUUGCCAAGGAUGUUUUCAUUAAUCAAGAACGAAAGUUAGAGGUUCGAAGGCGAUCAGAUACCGCCCUAGUUCUAACCAUAAACGAUGCUGACCAGCGAUCCGCCGGCGUUAUUCCCAUGACCCGGCGGGCAGCUUCCGGGAAACCAAAGUCUUUGGGUUCCGGGGGAAGUAUGGUUGCAAAGCUGAAACUUAAAGGAAUUGACGGAAGGGCACCACCAGAAGUGGAGCCUGCGGCUUAAUUUGACUCAACACGGGGAACCUCACCAGGCCCAGACACCGGAAGGAUUGACAGAUUGAGAGCUCUUUCUCGAUUCGGUGGGUGGUGGUGCAUGGCCGUUCUUAGUUGGUGGAGCGAUUUGUCUGGUUAAUUCCGAUAAC